GAUCCUGGCUCAGGAUGAACGCUGGCGGCGUGCUUAACACAUGCAAGUCGAACGAAGCACCUUGAUUCGAUUCUUCGGAUGAAGAUCUUGGUGACUGAGUGGCGGACGGGUGAGUAACGCGUGGGUAACCUGCCUCAUACAGGGGGAUAACAGUUAGAAAUGACUGCUAAUACCGCAUAAGACCACAGCACCGCAUGGUGCAGGGGUAAAAACUCCGUGGUAUGAGAUGGACCGCCG
rnacentral:rRNA from 1 species